rnacentral:rRNA from 1 species
GGGUGAGUAACACGUGGGUAACCUGCCCAAGAGACUGGGAUAACACCUGGAAACAGAUGCUAAUACCGGAUAACAACACUAGACGCAUGUCUAGAGUUUGAAAGAUGGUUCUGCUAUCACUCUUGGAUGGACCUGCGGUGCAUUAGCUAGUUGGUAAGGUAACGGCUUACCAAGGCAAUGAUGCAUAGCCGAGUUGAGAGACUGAUCGGCCACAUUGGGACUGAGACACGGCCCAAACUCCUACGGGAGGCAGCAGUAGGGAAUCUUCCACAAUGGACGAAAGUCUGAUGGAGCAACGCCGCGUGAGUGAAGAAGGGUUUCGGCUCGUAAAGCUCUGUUGGUAGUGAAGAAAGAUAGAGGUAGUAACUGGCCUUUAUUUGACGGUAAUUACUUAGAAAGUCACGGCUAACUACGUGCCAGCAGCCGCGGUAAUACGUAGGUGGCAAGCGUUGUCCGGAUUUAUUGGGCGUAAAGCGAGUGCAGGCGGUUCAAUAAGUCUGAUGUGAAAGCCUUCGGCUCAACCGGAGAAUUGCAUCAGAAACUGUUGAACUUGAGUGCAGAAGAGGAGAGUGGAACUCCAUGUGUAGCGGUGGAAUGCGUAGACAUAUGGAAGAACACCAGUGGCGAAGGCGGCUCUCUGGUCUGCAACUGACGCUGAGGCUCGAAAGCAUGGGUAGCGAACAGGAUUAGAUACCCUGGUAGUCCAUGCCGUAAACGAU